GACCUGAGCUCAGGCAAGGCUACC
rnacentral:rRNA from 2 species